UACGAAGGGGGGCUAGCGUUGCUCGGAAUUACUGGGCGUAAAGGGAGCGUAGGCGGACAUUUAAGUCAGAUGUGAAAUCCCGGAGCUUAACUCCGGAACUGCGUCUGAAACUGCACGACUAGAGCAUUGGAGAGGGUAGUGGAAUUCACGGUGUAGCAGUGAAAUGCGUAGAUAUCGUGAGGAACACCAGAGGCGAAGGCGACUACCUGGACAAUUGCUGACACUCAGGCACGAAAGCAUGGGGAGCAAAAGGG
rnacentral:rRNA from 1 species